AUCUUGGCUGGACAGAGGAGCAGCUACAGUGGAAAAUCCCUGAGUCAUGAUCACUGGUUCACUGCUGUUGUCACUCUAAGUCUGCUUAUCUAUGUUUGAUUAAGAAGGAUCAGCAAAGUAAGAAUUUCAUUGUUCAUAGUUUUCUGUGCACAUGAGAGUAAAUCUAUGAUGAAACAGUUAGCAGCGGUGAAAUUAAAAAAAACUAAUAGGGAGGGGGAAAGACACCUGGAGGCCCCACCCUCUGACUCUGUCUCUAUAAAUACCAUCCCAUAAUUCAUGUUCCACAGAGAGGAGAGCAGACAGAUGGCUGACAUGAUGCUCUACUGGUUUAGAUUCCUACUCUGGCUUUGGUUCGCGUGGCUGGCAGGAUCAUUGGAGCUGAAUGGUACUGUAGGUGGGAACAUCACAACACCCCAUAGUGGGAAAGGCUUUGUAACUCUUAAACACAAUGAAGAAACUGUGAUGUUUGUGCAGAAUAAUGUCAGUGAGUCAUACUCAAAAAAAAACAACAAGUAUCUGUGGUCCAACACCACUGGAUGGUUCACUAUAAAUGAUCUGGAGAAAACUGAUGCAGGGAACCUGAGUAUCACCUUCAGCGAUGGGACUGUAACGUACAAGCUGACUGUCUACGACUCUGUAGGGCCUCCUGCUGUCCAAACACUGAGUGUGAGCUCUGACAGCUGCUAUCUGCUGUGUGCUGUGGACAAAGCUGCAGAGAUCACACUGUGGUGGUACAAAGAUGAGGAGGUGGUGAACCAGAGCAGCUCUGCUGGAUCUCUGGCUCUCACUGUGACCAAACAGGACCUCAACUCUUCAUAUGCAUGUGUGGCUGGAAACCCUGCAGAGAAUGAGACUUUUACAGUGCAUCUUCCGAAGGUCUGUGGAGAGAACUUCACCAACAGCAGCUCAGAGAACAACCAUAGUCAUGUUUGGAUCAUAAUUGGAGUCUCUGCUGCACUUGCAUUCGCUGCCUUUUCAAUCUGGAAGUGUUUCAGGAAAAACACACCAACCACAGACAGAAGAGGCAGG